CUGUCAAUAGUAUCAGUAGGACGCUUAUCCUUGAAAGACCCAAGGGAUCUAGUGAUAUGACCCACUAGUCCGCCUUCUUCCCAACCUUCACGAAGGGCAGCUUGCUGAACAGAUUCAUCAGCCUCCCAUCCACCCUUAGGAACUACCCAAGAAGGAUGUUUUUUAGCAGAAGAAACUAAUAGGACUUUCCUUUUGUCUGCAGAUAAAGCAACAACACCCGCAGCAAGUCUGGCUCCUGUAAUAGGAUUGAAUCGAUUUUUCGUUCGACCUUCACGAGAAGUCAUUGAGCGGUUCACUGCCGUCCGUAGAUGAUCCGGCUCCAUUAAAAUCACACUUCCGUUAUUUUCAAGCAUAUGAACUAUAAAGUACUCUUCUUUUCGACAAGUUGAAUGGAUUUGGUAUAAUUUCUUGCCUUAUGGUAGAGUAAGGAAACGAUGUCUGAAAAGGCAAAAGCAAGAUGUUCAAAAGAAUCUGAGUUCUUUUUGAACAAGGAAGAGAUAUAAAUCUCCUAUUCCGAUGAAUAUAAAUCGAUCGCGAAAAGUGGUUUUCCGAAGGUUUCUCCCAGUGAUUUAGGUUGGGAUAACGAAAUAGUGAAGUACAAACCGACACGCUAAACAGUUGUCGGAGACCAAAUAAUUUGCGGUGAUAUUUAAAAUGAGAGAUUGUAUUAGAAAAUAGGUAAUUUAUAAUUUUUCAAAAUAAAUAGCUUGCGAG